rnacentral:rRNA from 1 species
AGAUUGAACGCUGGCGGCGUGCUUAACACAUGCAAGUCGAGCGGUAACGCGGGAGCAAUCCUGGCGACGAGCGGCGAACGGGUGAGUAAUGCUUGGGAAUCUGCCCAUUAGUGGGGAACAACCAGCCGAAAGGUUGGCUAAUACCGCAUACGCCCUACGGGGGAAAGCGGGGGAUCGUAAGACCUCGCGCUAAUGGAUGAGCCCAAGUCGGAUUAGCUUGUUGGUAGGGUAACGGCCUACCAAGGCGACAAUCCGUAGCUGGUCUGAGAGGACGACCAGCCACACUGGGACUGAGACACGGCCCAGACUCCUACGGGAGGCAGCAGUGGGGGAAUAUUGGACAAUGGGGGAAACCCUGAUCCAGCGACGCCGCGUGUGUGAAGAAGGCCUGCGGGUUGUAAAGCACUUUUAGUGGGGAUGAAAAGCCUAGGGUUAACACCUCUGGGUCUUGACCUAACCCACAGAAAAGCACCGGCUAACUCUGCGCCAGCAGCCGCGGU